rnacentral:rRNA from 1 species
UACGGAGGGAGCUAGCGUUAUUCGGAAUUACUGGGCGUAAAGCGCACGUAGGCGGCUUUGUAAGUUAGAGGUGAAAGCCUGGAGCUCAACUCCAGAAUUGCCUUUGAUACUGCAUGGCUUGAAUCCAGGAGAGGUGAGUGGAAUUCCGAGUGUAGAGGUGAAAUUCGUAGAUAUUCGGAAGAACACCAGUGGCGAAGGCGGCGACCUGGACGGACACUGACGCUGAGACGCGAAAGCGUGGGGAGCAAACAGGG